rnacentral:tRNA from 1 species
GCCGAAGUGGUGGAACUGGUAGACACGCCAUCUUGAGGGGGUGGUGGGGCUUUCCCCGUGGGGGUUCAAGUCCCCCCUCCGGCA